ensembl:lncRNA
UUCUCAAAGCAAUCUAACAGUCACAUAUUUGCAUUGUGUUGUACACGAUUUAAAACACGAUCAGUUAAUCAAUAACGCACUUUGACUAAACUUGCGCAUUACGCGCUGGUCACUCACCCACAUCCACAGAAAGUAAGACGCACAGAAGAGCUUGAUAAAUCCACAUUAUGUCCGAUUUCACGAUUCUCGGUCUCAUAUUCCAGGAUUUGGGAUGGAGAGUUUAUAAGGUCCGAGCUGGUGCUGCUGCUGCUGGUGUGGGCCCAAGCCACAUUUUGGCCAUGCAACAGCGGUGGAGCCCAGGUGUCAGUCAGAGGGAGAGAGCAGUGUCUUGCGGGGCUGUUGGGGAGAAUGUGGCCAGAUCAAAUGCCUUGACUUAAAUACAUCAGGCUGGGCUUCGACCACCACCCAAUCCCCAUGGGCAGCUCGGCCUGGUGAAGCCUAUUACAAAGCUGCACAACUGGAAUGAAUUCCACUCUUUUCCACUGCAGGUUUUACUGUGACAAGAACUAGUUUUACAAUAAGAUGAAACGGUCUUUAUUGAGCAAAUGAUAAUGAUACAGUCCCAUUUGUCAGAACAUCUGUCCAUGUCAUGUAUCACACCCCAGAGUGACAACUGUUUUGUGGGAUGGGUCUGCUCAGGACAAGCAUUUCCCCACAUGAUACAGUGACAAGCAUCAGGACAUUUUGUCUAUUUACGGAGCUUGGUGUUGAGUAGACUUGUCCACAGAGAAAUCUCAUUUGUCCAAAAUGACUGCUUCACGUAACUUGUGUUAAUAAUUUGCAAUGCAAGAAAAGUAGCUACAGAUAAUUUCUUUCAUAUUGUGGCAUAUACUGUAUACCUAAAUAAGAUAAAUUAUGAAAAAAAAAAAAAAGUAAUGUGGGUCUUGAUUCUAUCCAUUGGUUGUUGAUUGGAUUGAGGCAGAUCUGAAUGCAAAUGUAGUUGAUUGUAAGAAAUGGGAAGGAUUUAAAGGGAUAGUCGACUCAAAAAAUAAAAUUUCUAUCAUACUCGUCA